rnacentral:rRNA from 1 species
CGAAUGCUGACAUAAGUAACGAUAAAGCGGGUGAAAAGCCCGCUCGCCGGAAGACCAAGGGUUCCUGUCCAACGUUAAUCGGGGCAGGGUGAGUCGACCCCUAAGGCGAGGCCGAAAGGCGUAGUCGAUGGGAAACAGGUUAAUAUUCCUGUACUUGGUGUUACUGCGAAGGGGGGACGGAGAAGGCUAUGUUGGCCGGGCGACGGUUGUCCCGGUUUAAGCGUGUAGGCUGGUUUUCCAGGCAAAUCCGGAAAAUCAAGGCUGAGGCGUGAUGACGAGGCACUACGGUGCUGAAGCAACAAAUGCCCUGCUUCCAGGAAAA